UUUUAGGUGACUGAGUUAUUUAAGUGUUAGAUUUUUAAUCUAAAAACGGCAAUUAUUGCCCCUAAGAA
rnacentral:tRNA from 1 species